rnacentral:rRNA from 1 species
GUAGGUGGCAAGCGUUGUCCGGAAUUAUUGGGCGUAAAGCGCGCGCAGGAGGUUCUUUAAGUCUGAUGUGAAAGCCCACGGCUCAACCGUGGAGGGUCAUUGGAAACUGGAGAACUUGAGUACAGAAGAGGAAAGCGGAAUUCCACGUGUAGCGGUGAAAUGCGUAGAGAUGUGGAGGAACACCAGUGGCGAAGGCGGCUUUCUGGUCUGUAACUGACGCUGAGGCGCGAAAGCGUGGGGAGCAAACAGGAUUAGAUACCCUGGUAGUCCACGCCGUAAACGAUGAGUGCUAAGUGUUAGGGGGGUUUCCGCCCCCCUUAGUGCUGCAGCUAACGCAUUAAGCACUCCGCCCUGGGAGUACGGCCGCAAGGCUG